rnacentral:misc_RNA from 1 species
GGACGAGGAGGGUUGAAAAGCCAUAUUGUGCAUUGUCAGGUUCUACAAGCCUGAGGAUUGUAAGUAAUGUCUAGUCGUCCUUCUUGACGAGAACUAGGAAUAGGUUCAGCCUCUUCAAUCUCAAGAACAAAAUCUUUUCCAUUAAAGCAGUUUUGACAUCCUCAACAUGUCUCAUUCCGUUUGUGAACCAAAUUGUUGCAUCAU